CCUACGGGUGGCAGCAGUGAGGAAUAUUGGUCAAUGGGCGCGAGCCUGAACCAGCCAAGUCGCGUGAGGGAAGACGGUCCUAUGGAUUGUAAACCUCUUUUGUAGGGGAGCAAAAGACGGCACGCGUGGCGUUCCGAGAGUACCCGAAGAAAAAGCAUCGGCUAACUCCGUGCCAGCAGCCGCGGUAAUACGGAGGAGGCGAGCGUUAUCCGGAUUGAUUGGGUUUAAAGGGUGCGCAGGCGGCAGAUCAAGUCAGCGGUAAAAUUUAGAGGCUCAACCUCUUCGAGCCGUUGAAACUGGUUUUCUUGAGUGCGUCAGAUGUAUGCGGAAUGCGUGGUGUAGCGGUGAACUGCAUAGAUCUCACGCAGAACUCCGAUUGCGACGGCAGCAUACCGGCGCUCACCUGACGCUCAUGCACGAAAGUGUGGGUAUCGAACAGGAUUAGCUACCCUAGUAGUC
rnacentral:rRNA from 1 species